UCAAAGAUUAAGCCAUGCAUGUGUCAGUACAAGCUAAACUAAAGUGAAACCGCGAAAGGCUCAUUAAAUCAGCUAUGAUUCAUUGGAUCUGUACACCCAGUUUUCCUUGGAUAACUGUGGUAAUUCUAGAGCUAAUACAUGCACAUAUAGUCCCUGACCUUACGGGAAGGGCGCUUUUAUUAGUAUCUCAAAACCGGUCAUCGGGCUUCGGUCCGUAAACCAACCUGUGAUGACUCUGGAUAACUUUUAGCUGAGCGCACGGUCUUAUGCACUGGCGCCGCUUCUUUCAAGUGUCUGCCUUAUCAGCUUUCGAUUGUAAGUUAUGUGCUUACAAUGGCUAUAACGGGUAACGGGGAAUCAGGGUUCGAUUCCGGAGAGGGAGCCUGAGAAACGGCUACCACAUCUAAGGAAGGCAGCAGGCACGCAAAUUACCCACUCCCGGCACGGGGAGGUAGUGACGAAAAAUAAUGAUGCGAGACUCAUCCGAGGCCUUGCAAUCAGAAUGAGUACACUUUAAAUCCUUUAACGAGGACCCAUUGGAGGGCAAGUCUGGUGCCAGCAGCCGCGGUAAUUCCAGCUCCAAUAGCAUAUAUUAAAGUUGUUGUGGUUAAAAAGCUCAUAGUUGGAUUACAGUUCUGGACUGAUGGUAUAUACACCUAUUGGUGCUUACUAUCACGCUCCUAAACAAGCUCACUUUGUUGAGCCCCACUAGCUCACACGGGGUGCUCUUGAUCGAGUGUCCCGAGUGGCUGGUAUGUUUACUUUGAAAAAAUUAGAGUGCUCAGAGCAGGCUCCUAUUAUGGCCUGAAUGCUUAUGCAUGGAAUAAUGAAAUAAGACCUCGAUUCCAUUUUGUCUGGUUUUUAUGGAAUUGGAGGUAAUGACUAAUAGAGACAAACGGGGGCAUUUGUAUUGCGACGCUAGAGGUGAAAUUCUUGGACCGUCGCAAGACAAACAACUGCGAAAGCAUUUGCCAAGGAUGUUUUCAUUAAUCAAGAACGAAAGUUAGAGGUUCGAAGGCGAUCAGAUACCGCCCUAGUUCUAACCAUAAACGAUGCUAACCAGCAAUCCGCCGGCGUUAUUCCCAUGACCCGGCGGGCAGCUUCCGGGAAACCAAAGUCUUUGAGUUCCAGGGGAAGUAUGGUUGCAAAGCUGAAACUUAAAGGAAUUGACGGAAGGGCACCACCAGGAGUGGAGCCUGUGGCUUAAUUUGACUCAACACGGGAAACCUCACCAGGCCCAGACACUGGAAGGAUUGACAGAUUGAGAGCUCUUUCUCGAUUCAGUGGGUGGUGGUGCAUGGCCGUUCUUAGUUGGU
rnacentral:rRNA from 1 species